ACAUUUUUUUUUUGCUAAAACAAGUUGCAAAAGAACUCUGCUCAUAUUCUUAAAUGAAAGCUCAUGUGAUGCAAAAUGCUUGCCACAGUCAGCAAUAUUUGAACACAAUGAACACACCUGGCGUCAUUCAUUACACACAACGACUCAAAAUUGAAGACACUUGUUGCUAAUGCUGUGACCACAUGUAUAAAAGCAAGUUCAGAGUGCACAGUUUGCUGAAGAUUCCAAACAAACACAAUGGAUGAAGGCAGAGUCAGGGGAAGAGGAAUUCGAGUCAGAGGAGGAAGAAGAGCUGGCCAUGGAAGAAGAGGAGCAGGCCAACGAAGAAGAGGAGUUCAAAUCAGAGGAGGAAGAGGAGCAGGCCAACAAGGGAGAGGAGAAGGUCCAGGAGGGAGAGCAAGACAACCUCGCACCAUCAUUAUGGACGAGAUGCGAGCAACAGUCACUGACCAUGUCAUUGUCCAUGGCAUGACAAUGGCUGAAGCAGGACUAUGAGACGUCCAAACCUGAGUAGGUUUACCGUGGCCACCAUUAUCAGGGCAUUCAGACAACACAACAGAGUUGAAAGAAUGCCACAUAGAGGUGGGAGGGUUACCAUAUUUACAGCAGCACAAGAAACCCUCAUUGUGGAUAUGGUUCGUGAGAACAACCUCAUCAGACUCCGGGAGAUCAGAGAAAAAGUCAUUGCCGAUAAUGUCAACUUUGAGAGCAUUGAUGUCAGCUUGGCCACAAUAGACAGAGUUCUCCGGCGCCAGAAGAUGCGGAUGAAACAGGUCUAUAGGGUUCCCUUUGAGCGCAACACUGCCUGACACAAAGACCUACGUUACGAGUAUGUGCAUAGGAUAUUACAGUUGGACGCGAUGGCCAGACCUCAUGAGUACCUCUUCCUGGAUGAGGCUGGCUUCAACCUGCAGAAACGAAGGCAAAGAAGCCGUAACAUCAUUGGCCAAAGAGCCAUCACUGAGGUUCCUGGCCAAC